AUAGGCGAGAGCCAUCUGGCUGUGGCAUCUAUCACCAUGUUCAUUGCCAGGGUUGGCUUGAUCUGGCUGGCCUGGCUGCCUGAGGGAGUGUCCUCUUUCUCUAUUGCCACUCCACAUGUGCUGAAGCUGUGUAGUCGUGGGAAAGGAUGAGCUUCCUCUAUAGAGGAAGACCAUUUUUCAGUCAAGGAUAGAGAAGUCAUGCUCAUCUGUUAGAACCACCAGAAAAGCUCUAAUGGUCCAUUUGCAGGAGAACAAGGGUAGUUAGGGUUCCAGAGAGAUGUAUCCAGAUGAGGUACUGCAUCUCUCUCU
rnacentral:snRNA from 1 species